GUUGAGUGGUCUAGAAGGCAAUUGCCUUUUUUGGUUCUUAGAUUUAUCCCUCCUCUCUCACCGUAGUUAGUUCCCGUUUCACUUCCUACUGAAAGCACAAACUGCAGCUACAUUUCACCUUUACUGCUUGAUAGCCUCUGAAGUUCUAAGUCUUUUUACAAUAUCCAAGAUCAAUACUAAAGACCCUAAAACUCAACUCUGGAUUCAUGAGUCUUCAUUUUAUGGAUCUGCUGUUAGCUAUCUGCUAAGCUAACCUAAAGAAAGAGGGAUCCUCCUCGGUUGCUCUCCUGAAGGUUUCUUCACUUUUUUCCCUGUGAAAGGUUUUUUUCUAUUUCUUGGGAGUUUUUCCUGAUCCGAUGUGAGGUCAAAGCUCAGGGAUAUCGAUGAGUCUGAUGAGCCAGAGCUCGAUGGUGUUUCAGUGGGCCUCCUUACCGUCAUCAGUGACCAUGACACAAGUCCAGUUCAGUACCACACUUUGAGAAUCUCUGUCGUUGACAUAUUUAUCUCAGCGCCACCUACUGGCUCCACUGGACUUCCUCAAAUCUGCCACAAACUUGUAAUGCUGGUCUGUGGAUAUCGACAAGCCUAUUUUCACUAUCAGAGCGCCAUCUACUGGCGAAAGAAAACCUGGGUUACGUGAAAACGGUAAAACGGCCCACCGGUGGGCAUGCGUUCUCUGGCGAGCAGGCCCGCGUCUCGCCAGCGCCCCCGACUGGCGCAAAAGAGCGAGGAACCGUUAAUCUCUGCUCCCAGUUUUAAUAAUGGCUUUUGUUUUGUCACAACACUUGUGCAUAUGUUGCCAACACAUACAGAUUGAACUGUUAAUAUGAGAUACAGCAACUUUAAAUGACCAUCUUGGAAUGGUAAUGGUUUAAAUAACCCGGUUAAGAGAAGCAGAGUAAUAUCAAAAAUGAGAAAGACAAAGCAUCAAAUUAUAUUUGAACAGAAAACGCAUUUAUCUCAAGCUGAACACUAGAAAAAAGGAAAAAAAUGUGGCUACAUGAACACAUUUUAUAGCUCAAUAAAUACCGGAAGAAGAGGAGUUGCGAUAUUAUUACAUACAUAUUUAUUUUUCAUUGGUUGGGGAGAUCAGGGACACUGAAGGCAGAUUGAAAGCAAACUGACCCCCACAAAGUGAUCAAAGUAUAAUGAAGAAAAUACUCAAAUUGAUUUCUUCUGAAUCACAAGGCACACUGAUAUGUGCUGGAGACUUUUAUACAGUAAUAAGUAAUAAAUGGAUAAAUCUAAUAAGAGAAAAGUGUCCCCUUGCUGAGAAGAGGGUUAGACAAGACGGGCCUACCUGACGUUUGGAGAGACGUACAUCAAUUUGAAAAAGAUUAUACUUUUCACUCGGCGCCUCAUGCAGUCGUCUCAAGAAUAAACUAUAUUUUUAUGUUUCAGAACGACGGACAUAAGAUCCGUAGCUUCAUUUGCAU